UCUUGAUCGUCCUGCGGGGUGUCUUGCAGGCCGUCAUGCAGGCCACCUUGACGGUAACGUUGCAGGUCGCCCUGCGGGGCUUCUCGCAAGACGACAUUCUCCUCGUUAACGAUG
rnacentral:pre_miRNA from 1 species